rnacentral:rRNA from 1 species
UACGUAGGGGGCCAGCGUUGUCCGGAGUUACUGGGCGUAAAGCGCACGCAGGCGGUUGGCUGCGUCGGGGGUGACAGUGCUCGGCUUAACUGGGCAAGCGCUCUUGAUACGGGCCAACUUGAGGGCCAGAGAGGGAGCCGGAACUCCGGGUGGAGCGGUGAAAUGCGUAGAGAUCCGGAAGAACACCGAAGGCGAAGGCAGGCUCCUGGCUGGUUCCUGACGCUCAGGUGCGAAAGCGAGGGGAG